CCAGACUCCUACGGGAGGCAGCAGUGGGGAAUAUUGGGCAAUGGGCGCAAGCCUGACCCAGCAACGCCGCGUGAAGGAAGAAGGCUUUCGGGUUGUAAACUUCUUUUAAGAGGGAAGAGAAGAAGACGGUACCUCUUGAAUAAGCCACGGCUAACUACGUGCCAGCAGCCGCGGUAAUACGUAGGGAGCGAGCGUUAUCCGGAAUUAUUGGGUGUAAAGGGUGCGUAGACGGGUAAAUAAGUUAGUUGUGAAAUCCCUCGGCUCAACUGAGGAACUGCAACUAAAACUGUAUAUCUUGAGUGCGGGAGAGGAAAGUGGAAUUCCUAGUGUAGCGGUGAAAUGCGUAGAUAUUAGGAGGAACACCAGUGGCGAAGGCGACUUUCUGGACCGUAACUGACGUUGAGGCACGAAAGUGUGGGGAGCAAACAGGAUUAGAUACCCUAGUAC
rnacentral:rRNA from 1 species